AUUGAACGCUGGCGGCAGGCCUAACACAUGCAAGUCGAACGCGUGGCGGACGGGUGAGUGAUAUCUGGGAAACUCCCCGAGGGAGGGGGGGAAAUACUGUGAACGCUGUAUAAUAUACCGUAUCACCUGAUAUGCCCACAUGGGAUUAGCUUGUUGGGGGGGUAACGGCUCACCUAGGCGACGAUCCCUAGCUGGUCUGAGAGGAUGACCAGCCACACUGGAACUGAGACACGGUCCAGACUCCUACGGGAGGCAGCAGUGGGGAAUAUUGCACAAUGGGCUCAAGCCUGAUGCAGCCAUGCCGCGUGUAUGAAGAAGGCCUUCGGGUUGUAAAGUACUUUCAGCGGGGAGGCGUUACCCGCAGAAGAAGCACCGGCUAACUCCGUGCCAGCAGCCGCGGUAAUUC
rnacentral:rRNA from 1 species